rnacentral:rRNA from 1 species
GAUGAACGCUGGCGGCGUGCCUAAUACAUGCAAGUCGAGCGAACAGACGAGGAGCUUGCUCCUCUGACGUUAGCGGCGGACGGGUGAGUAACACGUGGAUAACCUACCUAUAAGACUGGGAUAACUUCGGGAAACCGGAGCUAAUACCGGAUAAUAUAUUGAACCGCAUGGUUCAAUAGUGAAAGACGGUUUUGCUGUCACUUAUAGAUGGAUCCGCGCCGCAUUAGCUAGUUGGUAAGGUAACGGCUUACCAAGGCAACGAUGCGUAGCCGACCUGAGAGGGUGAUCGGCCACACUGGAACUGAGACACGGUCCAGACUCCUACGGGAGGCAGCAGUAGGGAAUGUUCCGCAAGGGGCGAAAGCCUGACGGAGCAACGCCGCGUGAGUGAUGAAGGUCUUCGGAUCGUAAAACUCUGUUAUUAGGGAAGAACAAAUGUGUAAGUAACUAUGCACGUCUUGACGGUACCUAAUCAGAAAGCCACGGCUAGCUACGUG